CUGGAAAGGAAAUAGAGAUGCUAUUGUUCUAAUAGUUCAUUAUGCGAAUAGAAAAACUGAGACACAAAGAAAAAGUAACUUAGCUAAAGCUUUCAGUUAGUACAAAGUCAAAACUAAAACUAAGCUCCCUGAGUUCUUCACAGUGCUAUUUCUAUCACAUUGUGAAACUGAAGCGUCAUCUUCUCUUCCUGAGACCAGUUUGCUAAUGCAAAGAGGGGACAAGACUUUCACAGCCCAAGGAGACUCUACCCAAACGUAAUGACUACACACGUCUGGAGCAGUGCCAGGAGCCAGCCCCAAACAAGAGCUCAUGUGACCAGUCUUCCUAAGUAGAGCUGAGCCUGCUGAUCCAGGGAGAGGUGGGCGGAACAGCUGGAUAUCUGCCUGGCUGAUUACUACGAAGCCCUGCUGGCUGAACGUUCCCCAUCCCCAAGGAGAAGAGGAGGCCUAAGAGCAGGCAGCUCUGAAGGAAAGAGCAUUUAAGGACCUCAGCGUGAUGUGAUGUGUGGCAUGAUUUCCUUUCCCCAUCCAACCAGUUAGAUAAAUCACACCUUAUCCCAGGAGGAUGAGGAAGAAGCCACUGAAGGAGUGCAAAAGGAGUUUGCCCACUGUUUUGUCAAGAGAGUUGACAGCAUGGAGUUCAGAAAGCAGAUGCACCUUACAGGCUUCCAAAGGUGAUGAAACAACUGGAUUCAACUACUGUGUAAUCAACUGUGGUCAGACAAUUUUCUGCAUCUGCAAUAAGUCCUAUGAUGACUAUUCUAUGCAAAUCGACAGCUAUCAAAUUUCCCACCCAAAGUGUCUGUCCAGCUUUAUCCAAGCCACUUCUAGUCUCAGGCAAGCAUCUCGGAGCCUCCUUUAUCUUCCUGCUAUGACCCACUUGGUCCUUGACCCCUCAGGGCCCUGGUUUUUCUUUUAGAUCAGGCUUUAUUCCUACCCUAGGGAAGAUGAUCGGGCAAAGACAAUCUCAGUUUAUAGCUCUAUUUCAUUUCCAGCAGAUAUUAUGAUAGUUCUGCUCUGUCUCUAUUGAAUAAUCCUGAGUGAUGGUUUUGGAUUUUAAAAGGUUUUAAAGCUUUCCCAAUCGGUUAUAAGUUGUCAAACUCGAAAAAAAAUAUUGAGCUGAACAUAAAACAGAUGAAUGCUCUUAAAACAGAAGAAAAAGCAAUUACAUAACAUUACGUUUUGUAGAAAAUGAGGGAAGACUCUGUAAUGGAGAGUGGAAAAAAUACCUGUGCUUGCAUCGGGUAGAUACAAGUUCAAAUCCUAACUGUGCUUCUUAUUAGUAAUUUGACUUUGGACACUUCCUGGAGCCUCAGUCUCUUGCAUGCACAAUAAAUGUCAUAGAGCCAUUGCAAGGCCUGAAUGAGAUUACAUAUUGAAAGGGACUAAAGACAUAUAAAGGGGAUUCAAUAAGUAUUCAUUGACUUGCCACGUAUAUAAUUUAAGAUGCAAAAGAAGUGAUCCUUGAAACUAUAAUCCCUAAACUCUGACAAUAUCUCUGGUUGAGUUUAGGGGGUAUAACUCAAAAAGCAAUUUAAUUUUUCACCUCAGUAAUAUAUUCUCUUCACAACUUUAGCCAAGAGCACAGUUGAUGUACACAGUGCCUCCUACUUGGGGAGCAUAGAAAUAUAGCAGAGAAGUGCAAUAUGGAUUACAUUUGGGGUAGAGAACAACCACAACAUAGAGCAAGAACUCACCUAAUUUAUCUCAAAGUCCAGAAUGGGCACAUUAUAUUUAUGGGAAUUCAAGUGUGUGUGUGUGUGUGUGUGUGUGUGUGUGAGAGAGAGAGGAGAGAGAGAGAGAGAGAGUGCAUUCAAGAGAGUUCCCCUAUGACCUUCCCCUAUCUAAAUUCCCCUAUUUGCUACGUAGGGUCAAGGAGGUCAUGCCCAGAACAAACUGAGAAAUCACAGAAAUUUAAAUUUUAAGAGCAAUUAAAGGGCUUUCAAGGAUAAAUUUGCCUUAUACUUUGAAGUAAAAUCAGACCUACUUCCUAUUAAAAAUGUGGGUUUUAGUAAUAGCUUAUAAAAAUUUGAAAUCCAUAUGCCAGUUCUAGAUUUUUCUCUGAUUUUUGUCUUUAUUUUAAUAGUAUUGUUUGAUCUAUGUGAAAAGCAAAUUUACAUUUUAUCUUUUUAAUUGAAAUAUAGUAAUAUUUCUUUAGGUGAG
rnacentral:lncRNA from 9 species